GAUGAACGCUGGCGGCGUGCCUAAUACAUGCAAGUCGAGCGAACAGACGAGGAGCUUGCUCCUCUGACGUUAGCGGCGGACGGGUGAGUAACACGUGGAUAACCUACCUAUAAGACUGGGAUAACUUCGGGAAACCGGAGCUAAUACCGGAUAAUAUAUUGAACCGCAUGGUUCAAUAGUUAAAGACGGUUUUGCUGUCACUUAUAGAUGGAUCCGCGCCGCAUUAGCUAGUUGGUAAGGUAACGGCUUACCAAGGCAACGAUGCGUAGCCGACCUGAGAGGGUGAUCGGCCACACUGGAACUGAGACACGGUCCAGACUCCUACGGGAGGCAGCAGUAGGGAAUCUUACGCAAUGGGCGAAAGCCUGACGGAGCAACGCCGCGUGAGUGAUGAAGGUCUUCGGAUCGUAAAACUCUGUUAUUAGGGAAGAACAAAUGUGUAAGUAACUAUGCACGUCUUGACGGUACCUAAUCAGAAAGCCACGGCUAACUACGUG
rnacentral:rRNA from 1 species